GUUUAAGAACAUUGAUAAGUGCUAUGAAAAGAUAACUAAAUUAUAAAUUAUUCAGCACUUAUCACUCCCCCAAAUCUAUGUUUUGCUAGUCCUCGAGCAAAAUAAAACUAGAAAAGAAGAAUUCUAACUCACUUUCACAGGCAUCGCGAUUGCAUUUACCAUAUGCAACAAGGCUUUAAACCCCUAGGUUACCCUAGUGGACGAGUUAUAGUCUCGUGAGAGUUUUCAGUGAAGAUACCCACAAACUUUAAUAAAUCAUUUUUUUAUUAUU
rnacentral:lncRNA from 1 species